rnacentral:lncRNA from 1 species
GCGAAAACGAAAGUGCUGGAAGGGUCACGGGCUUCCCAGAGUCCUGGCCCAUUAACAGCUGAAGGCCCAGGCCAGGGUCCCCUGCAUCUGAUAAGCCCAAGCUGGCCUCGGCCUGCCUGGACUGCCGGAGAGCCCGGGGUCUUCUGGGAGAGCCCCAACCCGGGCAGGGGAGUGCAGGCAAGCAAACCGAGCUGGUGACUGCCGGAGUUCACAUACAUUUAUUCAAUUGACACCAACGAGGAGUGGGGGGAGACAUUUUUCUUUUCUUCCACACAAACCAUCAGACGAUUUCGGAGUCUCCCCACAGUAGAGAAGUCUAAAUCAAUGCACACCCAGUGGACAGAGAACGCAGAUAGCAGCCCGCUGUACAGAUAUUUACAAAUAAUUACAGGACCCCCUGCCACAGGAUGUGCCCUCACCCACCCCACCCCCACCUCUCCAGCCCCUGACCCAGACCUCCUCUCCCACCCAAACCUCAUUGCUUUUAGCUACAAUAAAUAUCCCAGGGCCUGGGACAGAGCAGAGCACUAAGAGGACUGCUGGCCCUGGGUGGCUGGACCCAGCCGGCCACGGGAAAGGGGAAAAGUUCCUUCAAAAGCACCCCAACACAAAAGAGGGAGGAUGUUUCUCGGCGGGGUGGGACUCCGCAUGGAUUGUGGAGACCCCUCGCUUCACCUCUUCGUUCAGCUUCGCCUGUGUAGACACUCCUUUAUAGGCUUCAGAGAGAAGGAACCUCCUUGGAGAACAGCAAGGAAAAAAAGUUGAAUUCUUCUUUUGAGCACAAAGCGGAUAAUAGAUGUCUUUAAAUUAUAAUAUUGGACAAGCAGGGCCUCAAAGCCGAGGAAGGAGUGAGCGGGAUGCAGAAAGAGAGACCCCUCUGCGCAGUUGGUGCUUCUGGCGGGACCCGCGGGGCCUGGGCAGGCUUCUCUCCAGGACAGCAAUUCUUCCGGGGCUGCCGGGAGAAAGCGAAGACUCCCCCCGCCCCCGUUAUACUGCUCAAAUUGGAACCGGAUCGUGGCUUGCGAACUCGUCGCGUAGACCCGGGCCUCUCCCUGAGCGAUGGAGCCCGCUUCGUCCCAACUGUCGGCGAGAUUCUGAGCGUGGAGCCUGAAGUGCCAAGUCACGCGCGCCGGCCCAAGGUCUGGCGACUCUUCAUAAAUAGACUCCCUGAGUUCCUCUGGGACCGCAGGAGCUCCCGGGAGAGGCUUAGGAGUGCGGGCCUAACUGGCCCUGAGCCGACGCGGUCAGAAGUGGCAGCCACUGAGACCGGCGACUUUGCCGGCAAACGGAGGCCCUGAGGACAGGAGCGCGUCCCCGGGGUGCGAGAGGCGGAUGUGGCCGGCCACUGGAGCCAGGGCUGGGGCAGUCAGCAUGGCCAAGACCUGGGCUUGACCGCCAGGACCCGCCGCCGCCGCGAACGGCGAUCCCGGGGAGCCCUCGCCUCCGCCCGGGGGUGCUGCCCCGCCGCCGCCGUGGCCCAUGAUGUGGUCUAUGGAGAAGGAAGGCCUCUGGCCGGCCCCGGCGCCCCCGCCGCCCGCACCACCGCCCGCGUCCGUCUUGAGGCCCUGGCGCAGGAGUGCGGUGGACAGACCAGCCGCGGUGCCGGCUGCGGGAGGGCUCAGCGACGCGGGGUAGAAGGCUUUGGCGCAGCCCAGCUCCGCGCCCAGGAAGGCGGGCAGGCCUGCGGGGCCCGGGCCCGACCCUGUGCCCGGGGCAGGCGCAGGGGCCGGAGCCGAGGCUGCGCCUGCGAACACCGAGGCCGUCGGAGGUCCGGGUGGAGGCGCGGCGGCACGGCCUGGGGGUACCGACAGCUGGCAAGGAGCGGCGGCGGCGGCGAAAGCGAAGGCGUGCGGGUGUGGAUGCGGAUGCGGGGCCGGGCCCGGCGGCGGUGCGCCGUAGGCCGGGAGAGCCAACCCGUAGCCAUAGCCGUAGGCUCCGUAAGCGGCGAAACCCGGCAGAAAGGCGCCGGGGUCCCCCGCCGCCGCAGCCCCGCCACGCAGCAGCAGCUCCGGGUGAGGGUGCGUGUGUGGAUGCGGCGGCGGCAGCGGCUGCCGCUUGAAGCGCUUACGGCGCCGCAGGAAGCUGCCGUUGUCGAACAUGUCGGCCGACUCCGGGUCCAGCGUCCAGUAGUUGCCCUUGCCCGGGUUGCCCGGCUCGCGGGGAAUCUUGACGAAGCAGUCGUUGAGCGAGAGGUUGUGGCGGAUGCUGUUCUGCCAGGCGGGGAACUUCUCCCGGUAGUAGGGGAAGCGGCCGCUGAUGAACUCGCAGAUUUCACUCAGCGUCAGGCGCUUCUUGGGGCUCUGCAGGAUGGCCAUGGUGAUGAGCGCGAUGUACGAGUAGGGAGGCUUCACCAGCGGGCUCCGCGUCGCCGCGCCCCCCGACGGCGGUCCCGGCCCGGGGGCCCCGCCGCGCCCCGGGCCGCCGCCGCGCCUGGCCGGGGCUUCCCGCUGCGGCCGCCGCCCCCCGGGGCGCUAGAGCGCGGGGCUCGCCGUCCGAGCAGCCGCCCGACUCCUCGUCCUCAGCUGCGUCCGCCUCGGCUUCCUCCGAGGGAGGCUCGGGGCCGUGCGGGAGCACGUCCCGGGGGGCGCGGGGCCCGGAGCGGGCAGGGAGCUCCCCCCCACCGCUGCCGCCGCCGCCGCCGCCGCCCACUACGUCUAUGUCUGCGUCGGCCUCGGACAGCGCGGCCGGGGAGCUCUCGGAGGACAUGAUCUCGCAGCAGCAGCUGCCCAGGGUCAUGGUGCCGCCGCCGCCGCCGCUCUCCGGCUCCGCUCCGGCCGCGGCUCGGGCUCCGCCGCGCUGCCUCUGGGGCGAGUGUGUUUUGCGCGCGGGCGGGGAGGGGGCGGGGGACUGAGGCGGACAGGGAGGGGUGUCCCCCAGCUUCGCAGCGCCCCCUCGUGGCCCGACUCGGCCGCUCUCACCUCUCGGGGAGUACCCGACCCGCGGCUCUCUCCGCUGCCCCGGGAGCCCGAGCGGGGGCCUGCACGCCGGGGCGCGGGCGGAAGGAGCUGAGGCCUCCCCUCACCCUGGCCGGUCUCGGCCCCAGUCCCCCCGGGGCGGGGGGGGGUCCGGGUAUUAGUCCCUCCCGCCCAGCGGCUGCCCAAGGCGGAAGAGCGCGAGCCCGGGGCGGAGCUCCCUCAGCGGGGUGGGGCGGGGCGGGAGGGGGCGGGCGGAGUGUCUCCGCGGAGGGGCCCGGCGGGAACAAACAGCCGCCGCGGCGGGAGCUCGGCUCCGGUGCCGGAGGCGAGUCCUCCUCUUCCCCGCAGAUCCCGCAAACCUUUCGCUCCCUGGAGCCGCUGCCUUCAGUGCGUUCGGCCCCUGGAUGUUAAGGUUCACGCGGGUGCCAGCGGGAGCCGGGAGAAGGAGCGACAGCGCCCACCCAUCGUCGCCCCAAGGCAGAGACAGCGCCCGGGCCACCAAGGCCGAAGCGCAGUCGGAGCUGGAGCGGGAGCCUGAGACGCCCAGACCAGCGCCGCCCGAGGAGAGCGGGGCCCGCCGCCGCCCGAGCGGCUUCCGGCCCAAGGGGAGACGCACUUGAGUGAUCGCGAGGAGCGAACUUGGCACUCUCAGCCUCGGGCCUCGGAGAGGAAGAUUAGCCCUGAGCUAACUACUGCCAAUCUGCCUCUUUUUGCUGAGGAAGACUGGCCCUGAGCUAACAUCCGUGCCCAUCUUCCUAUACUUUAUACGUGGGACGCCUACCACAGCAUGGCUUGCCAAGCAGUGUCAUGUCUGCGCCUGGGAUCCGAACCGGCGAACCCCAGGCCACUGACGCAGAACAUUCGCACUUAACUGCUGCACCACCGGGCCAGCCCUCCACUGUGUUUUUUUAAGGGGGAAAAUAAUGUAUAUUUGUUUUGGUUUGUAUAUGCAACAAAAAUAUGUAGGAGGAUGAAUAAAAACUGAACAACUGAUUAUCUGUUGAGGCAAAUGGGGAACAAAAAUGGAGGUGAGACUUUUCACUGAAUACUUUUUUUAUAUGGAAUCAUUCCAAUAAAUAAGGCUGAGUGUGCAGAACUGAAGAGUAAUGAAGGCCAUUACUACAUGCUGGGCACUUCCUAUGGGCUCCAACAUGAACUGUGGUUGGUGGCUGUAGUUUUGAAGGUGGGACGUGAAAGCAAGACUUACUGGGUGCCUCUGAGCAUUGGCCUGCCACCCGUCAGGCAGGGAGGUAGGUGGGUCUGGUAGCUAGGACCCCAGACUUUCUACCUUGCCCACCUUCUCUUCUGUCCCCAUCCUUCUGUCUUUGCCUCCUCUCUUGGUCCCACCGAAAUUGCUCUGGAAGUAGUCAGACUUUUUCAGUUUGACAAGCUAGACAAGGAUUAGGAUGGAGGAAAGGGUUUUAUAGAAACUAAAAUAGCAGGCUCUCCCCUCCCUUCCUUGAAAACCCCAAACCAGAGCUCACCUCCUCCAGGAAGCCUUCCUUGUGAGGCCCACCAAGCCCCAACCCCUCCACAUUGCAGGGAGAUGGUCUGAUGCCCAAGGUGGGGCCUGCGUCCUCCUCAAGCCAGGCCUAGGCCUCUUGUCUCUAACUCUCCUCCACCCCUUAAACCUCAACUCCAGCCUCCAGACAAGGGGUAUCUCAGGCCAAAGCCUGGCAUGCCCGCCCUGGCCAGGCUGCCCAGGGAGGGAUACAGUGGACAGAGAAGGGGCAGGGCCUGUCCUGGGAAGCCCACAGCCAGGCAGGGGAGAAUAUCCUCCCCCAGCAUCACUACGGCUGUAGCAGUUACAAAGGCCGUCCCACCCAGGCAGAGAGAGCAGGGCACAUUCUCGCUAGUUCAGAGGAGCCUGAGGCUGGGGUCGGGGCAGAGGCUUGAACUGGUGAGUGGCCACAGUGACCUGAGAGCUCCCUGAUCUUGUCAGCACUCUGCACUAUAUUGUCACCCACCAAUAGUUGACUCCUUUGCGCAAGGCCAUCAUCUGAUUCCUCUGAGUCCUCGCUGAGGUGGGGCGCACAGUCACAGAGCCUGGAGAGAGCUGUAAGUUGCUGUGACAGAGGAAGAAGGAAGGCCUUGCCUGAGUGUUAGAGUAGACCUCAGGUUUCCUGACACCCACCCAGCACACUUUCCGCUAUUUCCUUCUUACGGAGUGGAUCAAUUCUCUGCAGCUAGAACCACCUACCACACUCCCAUUCCAAGCCCCUCUAAGUGGGCCACUACCAAGGGCUGCGAAGAAGAAUGGAGGAGGAUGGAAGAUCUGGGAGGGCUUCCCAGGGGAGGUGGGAACUGCAGCCAGCUUUCCUCUUCCACACCAAACAAUUGGGUUCCCCCUGGAGCAAGUGCCUCUCUGCCACCAGAAGCCACCCCAGCCGCAAACAGCGUCCAAAUGGAUCCUGGCUUCAUUCCACUGCUUUCCUGCUCAAAUCAGGUGCAUACAAGGUGGCCAAUAGGUGGCGCUUUUGUCUCCACAAAAUUGGUGAGGGGAGAGGGAGGAGGGGGCAGGAGUACAGGGAAAGGAGGGGAAGAGGGAGCGUGGAAGGGGGAAGAAGUGGAAAACUGGAAAAAAAAAAAAAAGGAAACCAAACCUAUCACUUGGCUUCGAAAAGUACCUUUCAAGAUCAGGACUGUGGGUGUGAUGGAUGGGGCAGGGGAGAAUAUGGUGUGAACUGAGGAAUUUUUUUGGUGCCUGGGGCUUUUGAUCCAAGUUUCCACUGCCACUUGCCUAUUCCACAGAGGCAGAGAAUGACUUUGGAGUCAGGCGGACCUAGAGUCAAGUUCUGAGUGGGUCACUUUGCAGCUUGACCUGGGUAAGUCACUUAACCUUUAUAAGCCCCAAUUUCAUCAUCUAUAAAGUGGAGCUGUUAAUUCUAAUAAUGCCACCCUGCGUUCCAGGAAUAAGCUGUGUUUGAUCGUGCAUUGUUCCGAUGCAGUACCGGAUUCGGUCUGCUGAUAUUUCAUUGAGGAUUUCUGCAUCUUCCUUCAUGUGUGCGAAUGGCUCUAUUUUGCGUGCUCACGCCUUCUGUAUUGGGUUUUUCAUAAGGUGAUUAAGUAGAUAGAAUUGGGAUGACUUCUGUUUUUUCUGUGUUCUGGAACAAUUUAUGUAACUAGAAAAAUAGGUUCCUUGAUGGUUUGACAGAAUUCACAAGUAAGACCAGCCAGCCGAGGUGCUCCCUGGCGGGAGCAAUGAAGGAACCAUCUCUGGCAGUGUUUUCAUUUCUUCUGGACUAAGAGGUCUAUUGAGAUUGGUUACUCCUUAAAUCAGUCAAGCCCCACCAGAGUGCCUACCAGCCAAAUGACCAUCCUCAAGCUUUCAGGGUCAGCAUGAGGCUAUAAUUAGAUGGGAAAGUUUGUAACCUCUCUGGAAUAGGAGGAUUUGUUUCUAUUCUUUUGUGGCUACUUUCCUUUGUCACCACCUCUACUUCCACCAAGUCACCCUCCUUUCCCGCCUGGAUACAGCAGUAGCCUUUUCAUUGGUCUCCCCACCCCACCCCACAUCCCCUCUAAUGGCAUGUUUGGGGCUAUGAAAUUUCCUCUGAGCACAAGUUUGACUACAUCCUAUGGAUUUUAAUGUGUGCUGUUCUCACUUUUAUUAAUUUAUAAAUAAUCUGUACUUUUAAUUUUCCUCUAACCUAAGAGUUAGUUAGAUAAGCAUUUUUAAAUCUUCAAGUGGUUAAUUCAAAUUGUGGUCUAAGAACAUAUUCUUAUACAUGUAGGAAUUUAUGAACAUUUUUGAAUGUUGUGUUUUCAUUUCAAUAAUAAUCUUAAGCACAUUUAUAUAAGCAUAUUCUGGACCACUUAGAAGACCUCUUGAUAUCAUGAGUAUCAGAGAUCUGGUAUUUAGAGUCUUCAUUUGCAUUUAUUAUCAAGUAGUGCUAUUUUAAUCUUGAGAUGAGGCAAAAAACAGUGUAGACUUUAUAAAUACAUGCUGCGUUUGGGCCAGUUGGAGGCAUGGCCUGCUAUAUGAAGAAAUGUUUGCAGUUCAUUCAAAAGAAAAAGAUGGUGAGUCAAUUUAAUGUCACAUGGCUCAAGGCAAGCCAAACCCAAAAGACCUCAGGGCCACACUCAUGUGCAAGUAAUUUAGUUUCAGCAAGACAAUAUCUUCUUUUACAUUUGAUUAAUGUUAUGGGUUUGAAUUUUUAUUUUGUAGUUCUGUUUGAAUUUAAUUUAUAUAAAAAUUGUUUUACAGUUACAUAAAAGAUACAUGUCUAAGGAUUUUAUACCUGUUAAUAAAAAAUUAAGUCAAUACUGGGGGUCCACAGGACUUUUUUCCUUUAAAAGGAAACCACUUUAGCCUCCUGUAUCUUGCAAAAUGCUCCCCCUCCCUCAUACUUCUAGGAUCUUCCGAAGAAGGACCUCACCUGGGCUUAAAACCACGCCAGUCACUACAGCAGAGGGUUCUCCACGUUGUGCAUUUGUCCUUCUGCCUUCCCAGAUGUGCAAAAUUUUCCCCCAAAUUUACCUCGACUGAAACAAAGAAACAAAGCAAGAGAAAGGAAGAUAUGGAAGCAAAGGAUCCAAGACAGGAGAGAGAUGGAGGGAAUUCCAAAAGAAAGAGUGAGUGAAAAUUUCAGGUCCACAUCUGUGCAGCAGACACGGAGAGCAAUCAGCCCAGACCGGAGCUGGAGGACAGCGGGCUCUGGGAGAGAUGCCCCCGGGAAAGGAAAAACACAGCAACCAAAAGCAAUGACAGAUUUCCUGCAUCUACCAAAGUGUCACAAUUCUUGGGGCACUCUACCACACAUAGCUUUCCAGACAAUGGACUCUGUAAGGGCAAGAACAGUCUCAGGUUUGUAUCUGCACUGACCUCAGAGCCCAGCACACACCUGGCACACGGUACGCCCUCGAUGCUGUGGAAUAGGGAAAAUUAAAGAGGC